AUGUGCGAUUCUGAAGGUGAAUGCAGACCUUUGGGUUUUCUAAUAGGCCUUCCUUUUGCAUUUCUCUCUCUCCUCCUCACAAUCGUUGGUACAUUCGUUUGGAUUAUCGGAUUAUUGCUUUCAUGCAUUUGCCCAUGUUGCUUGUGUUUUACGAUAAUAGUUGAACUUGCUCUUGAAUUCAUCAAAGCUCCAUUGCAUGUCAUGACGUGGUUCACCUCUAUGAUCCCAUGCUGA